rnacentral:lncRNA from 1 species
CCUGGAGAGACCUACUCCCCCUACCCCAGAACAUGGGGCUCAAGGCAUAAAAGCUAUGCUCCAGGGGCCGUACUGUCCAGGAGGUGGCAGGUGCCUCAUGCAGGCCUCAAAACUGAGUGAAAGGCCAGGUGAGGUUAAUGGGACUCCUGCUUCGCUGUGAGUCCCUCAGGGUACCUGUCACUCAGUGAAAGUUGCGUUCGGGAGAAGAAGAGGGAAGACCCAAGACUGGAGACCCAAGGAAGGGAGGGUUGUGCGGAGGAUGGUGGGGAGAACUGUUUUGUGCGCUAGCAGGGGUAGAGUGCCCAGUACUGGAGGAGAGGUAGUCAGGAUGGGUACUGGACAGAAGAGAGAGCCGUGAGCAGGCAGAUCUGCAGCAGGGGGCCUUGCUCUUAUCGCUAGGCCACUGGAACUCCAGGGAGUAUCCAUUGGCUGGCGUUACACGGGUCACAGAAGCCCCUGUGAGAUCAGUUUGAAGGACCAGCAGGAGGACAAGGAAGGUCCCAGCCAGCAACAGACAGACCUGAGGUCUGGCUGCCGGAGGCUGCAGGGAAAGGACGCAGGGAAGGUGGGAUCGUCUCGGGCAGGGGGCCAGCAGGACAGGCAGGUGGGAGAUGGAGAGUGAAGAGGGACGGUCAAGGUCACGAAGCUUGAAGUGGGUUCUUACAGUCAGGAUGCUGGCACGUUGCCUUUGGUGAUAGGUAGAGUCUUUCAAACGCAGUUUAUUGGUGCAGAAGGCUGACCAGCUUUGCCACACCUGACCAGCAUGGCCAGUCACCUACUCACAUUUCACUGGGGAAAGAGGUCAUCGUUCAAAGGCAGAGGAGAAAAGAUGGUAAAGAGGACACAGAGAUCUAGAGCUGUUUAGAAGUAAUUCCUUGAGGCUAUUCCAAUCUCUGUCUGCCAGAAUCCCAGAAGUCCAAUUCAGUAGUGUCAGGGUAGCACACACGAAUCCGUAGUGGUCGCAUGAUCCAGCAGAAGCAGACAGAUUUUCACCGAACCGGCAGGAGUCAGCUUGAUCGACCAGGACCAGCCAGGAUGCCAGGAGUUCUCAGUCAUGCCUCUCUCAAGGAAGUGAAGAUCAGGAAAGAUGGGACACCAAGAAGAGUUGCCCAGCUAGCUAUGAGCAGGUGGUCACAGUGAUGAGGGAAAGACCUGACUAAAUGACAGCAGCCAAGUCACAGCAGCCAAGUCAGGGACGGGAGACAGCUCUCCUUGCUCAAGAGCUGUCGGUGCACAGUUUUAUCAGCGUGUGAAACUUUUGGGUCACGACAUCCCAGUGCCACGUGAAAUAGUGUGCUCCACAGUCUUGUAAAUGCAGUGUGCCCACGCCAAGGCCUCGCUGUGAACACUAGCCUCUCUCCUUAUGGGAGCUGCAGGGGUAGAAACCUGUGAAGUUGCCUUAUUUAUGAAAGUGUUAAUUUAGCUAGGAGUAGGUAGAUGAUGUGUGACUUGGUAAAUACGGAGCAGACAAUGAAAAGACCUGUUAAUUUCGCUCUUGAAUUCACAUUUUGGGAAAUGUUUAUAAACUGAGAAUUCUAAUUCCUUUCCUUGCUCACGCUUCUCCUCAGAUGGCUAUAUUGCAACGGAAUGAUAGCCCCUGUGAAAAAUAUCACUUAGUUUUUUACAGCAGUGGCCUGACUCUACGAAUAGCAGGGACUCACUCUUAACCAGUCCAGGAGUUUGCACCCGUGUAGUUUAAAGGCCCUGAAGGAGAUUCAGCCGAGGUCUCCUCAUUUGCGUUGAAUGGAAGCAGCGUCCAGAUGGACAUCCUCUUCCAAAUCCUGGGAUCUCUUUGGCUAGGCCAGUUAAAGAGUCUGGGCUUCAUUUCUGACUGUCUGUAGUCAGAUGCAUUCCGGGUAGGACUUUUAGGUAUGAACAGGAGCUCACACUAAGAACAGGAUAGAGGGCAGUAUUGAGUUCUCCCAGUGAAGACAGAAAUGAACCCUUUCUUCAUUUUAGGCUUAGACUGGAUUGAACUAGCUUGGGUCAUGCAGAUUGUAAUCCCUGGGUCUGUUUGGUUUAGGUCUGGGUAAAGCCCAGCAUAACAGCUGUCACCGUGGUAACAGAAAUGCUGUGGGUACUUAGAGGCUAUGAUGGUGCCCAGUCACGGGUGCUGUUGGACCAUGGGCUUUAAGUGCACAGACCUGGGUGUGUGCUCAGCUGGCUGAUCACACUGUGCAUCUCUGGGGAGCCUCAUAGGCAGUCCUUCCCCUCCACCACUGCUCCAGGCUGUCAUUUGCCUGUUUACUUAGUUGCUUGCUUCUGCUUGCUGAUAUCUACCCAACCCCCCACUGCUGCCUCGAAGCCUGGCAUGUCCAGGCACAGCAAAGAGCUCCAAACAGCUGAGGAGACAAGACAGAAAGCAGCGGAGCAAAAUUUAUGGGAAAAAUUAUCGUCAUUUGCCAGAGAUGUAAUCUUAUUACUAGGAAAUCCAAUAAAAUUGGCUAAAACACUUAAUUAUAAUCAAGACCUCGUCAUCUCCCAGAGGCCCUGGUCAAUGGUCCAAGGAGGAACAGGUGACAAGCCCUGGUCACAUCCACGCUGCAGAUUGCCUCCGAAGCGUUUCCCGGUGAUUCUGUAAAGAUCCAGGUCUCGACUCUGCUGCAAAAUGAAUGAACUGCUCAUCUCACCGGCUCGGAGC